rnacentral:rRNA from 2 species
UGCAAGUCGAACGAACUCUGGUAUUGAUUGGUGCUUGCAUCAUGAUUUACAUUUGAGUGAGUGGCGAACUGGUGAGUAACACGUGGGAAACCUGCCCAGAAGCGGGGGAUAACACCUGGAAACAGAUGCUAAUACCGCAUAACAACUUGGACCGCAUGGUCCGAGCUUGAAAGAUGGCUUCGGCUAUCACUUUUGGAUGGUCCCGCGGCGUAUUAGCUAGAUGGUGGGGUAACGGCUCACCAUGGCAAUGAUACGUAGCCGACCUGAGAGGGUAAUCGGCCACAUUGGGACUGAGACACGGCCCAAACUCCUACGGGAGGCAGCAGUAGGGAAUCUUCCACAAUGGACGAAAGUCUGAUGGAGCAACGCCGCGUGAGUGAAGAAGGGUUUCGGCUCGUAAAACUCUGUUGUUAAAGAAGAACAUAUCUGAGAGUAACUGUUCAGGUAUUGACGGUAUUUAACCAGAAAGCCACGGCUAACUACGUGCCAGCAGCCGCGGUAAUACGUAGGUGGCAAGCGUUGUCCGGAUUUAUUGGGCGUAAAGCGAGCGCAGGCGGUUUUUUAAGUCUGAUGUGAAAGCSUUCGGCUCAACCGAAGAAGUGCAUCGGAAACUGGGAAACUUGAGUGCAGAAGAGGACAGUGGAACUCCAUGUGUAGCGGUGAAAUGCGUAGAUAUAUGGAAGAACACCAGUGGCGAAGGCGGCUGUCUGGUCUGUAACUGACGCUGAGGCUCGAAAGUAUGGGUAGCAAACAGGAUUAGAUACCCUGGUAGUCCAUACCGUAAACGAUGAAUGCUAAGUGUUGGAGGGUUUCCGCCCUUCAGUGCUGCAGCUAACGCAUUAAGCAUUCCGCCUGGGGAGUACGGCCGCAAGGCUGAAACUCAAAGGAAUUGACGGGGGCCCGCACAAGCGGUGGAGCAUGUGGUUUAAUUCGAAGCUACGCGAAGAACCUUACCAGGUCUUGACAUACUAUGCAAAUCUAAGAGAUUAGACGUUCCCUUCGGGGACAUGGAUACAGGUGGUGCAUGGUUGUCGUCAGCUCGUGUCGUGAGAUGUUGGGUUAAGUCCCGCAACGAGCGCAACCCUUAUUAUCAGUUGCCAGCAUUAAGUUGGGCACUCUGGUGAGACUGCCGGUGACAAACCGGAGGAAGGUGGGGAUGACGUCAAAUCAUCAUGCCCCUUAUGACCUGGGCUACACACGUGCUACAAUGGAUGGUACAACGAGUUGCGAACUCGCGAGAGUAAGCUAAUCUCUUAAAGCCAUUCUCAGUUCGGAUUGUAGGCUGCAACUCGCCUACAUGAAGUCGGAAUCGCUAGUAAUCGCGGAUCAGCAUGCCGCGGUGAAUACGUUCCCGGGCCUUGUACACACCGCCCGUCACACCAUGAGAGUUUGUAACACCCAAAGUCGGUGGGGUAACCUUUUAGGAACCAGCCGCCUAAGGUGGGACAGAUGAUUAGGGUGAAGUC